GGGCUUGUGGUUUAGGGGUAUAAUUUCUUCUUAGCAUGGAGAAGGUCCCGUAAGUUCGAAUCCCGCUGUAACCA